AACGAUUUAUUUGUUUAUACUUUACCCUAUUCCAAUUUUUAUAUUAAUAAAUUCUCAUGACUUUUAAUCAGCUCUAAUAUAAUAAAAUUUUAAACGCAUAAAUCAUAAUAAUGUACGAGUUUGGUGAACCUGACGGCUGCCCUUGCGAAGAGUUUGAGGAGGAAACAUUUUCCGAGAGAUUUUGGGGCGCAUGUGGCAUGGUACCGUACACUAAACAAGUAUUUAAUAUUGCCGGAGCAAUAAAAAAUCAUUUUACGAUUUCAGUCGCUUCACAGUAUUAUCGUAACGUCGUAUGGUGGACUACGAGUACAGCUACGGUCUUAUUUUUACCAAUUUUCAUCGACAAACCGAUUCUAGAAGCAGUUACCACAAAAUUAUAGUUGUCUCAUCUAUAGAGUACUAUGUACUCAUAGCGCAACCAUACAAUAAAUUAUUAUUUAAAUAAUAUAAUAAUUAUUUUAAAUAAUGAUAUUGUGUCUGAUAAUAUAUACAAUGAAGAAAUAUAACAAAAAUGUAGGUAUUGCA